CACCGGUCGUCCAACUAUUGGAAGAGAAUCAAUAGAUUUCUUUUUUUUAGAGUAAUUCAUCCUUCCAAAAUACAGCAUACAACUCUCUGUUGUACCAUGUUCUCCAAGGGUGCUUGUUCCUCCUCUCUGCCGAGUCUGUAUGAAAUAAUUCCAAUAAGAAGAAAAAUUGAAGGCCUUAAUAGACCCUCGUAUCCCAACCCAAGAAACUCUAAAGAUCCUUUUUUCAAACCUACUCCCAUUCUAGUCAAGAGAUACAAGCAGACACAUGAAAUUGCAGUGAUCGGGUGCGUUAAUAGUGAUUGAGGGGUAUUGAAGACCAAGAAGUGAGUUAUUUAUACUGAGCAUUCUUCUUACGAUUAGAUCUAAUCUCCAGGUCCUGGUGAAAAGAAAAAGGUAUUUCAAUCUUCCUCUCAAGAAGAGGGAGGAUUAGGUAAAUCCUAUUGAUUGCAAAUUUCUUUAUGCUUCCGUAAGUUACUCUUAUGGUUUUUUCGAAUUCACCUCGUGUACUUAUAAAUUGCUGAAUUUUAUUUUUGUUGGGGAAUGAGUGAAAUGGGUAAUGUGAGAAGAGAAAAGAGAAGAAAUUAGGACAGGUGCAGACUUUUUGUUCUUAGUUCUGUUAUUUUGUUGAUUGGCACCUUUUAUGUUUAUGUUUUUUGUAAAGCUCAGGAUGUGCAUAAUCUUGUCCAUUUAUAUGUCAAUCCAGAUUUGUACACGACAGAACUAAAUAAGACAAGUUUGUUGUGCUUAACCUGUCUUGCUGUUCUAAUUUCACAGGGUAGAAGACCUGGCUUUGGACGUGGAGCUGGUGACUUUGGUGCACCACCACCAAGUUAAUACUGCCCGC
rnacentral:lncRNA from 1 species